AGUCGUAUGGUCUAAUGGUUAUGAUAUCUCGUUCACAAUUUGAAUCAACCCCGAGAUGGUUCUGAGUUCGAUCCUCAGUACGACUA